UGCCCUAGUAACGGCGAGUGAAGCGGCAACAGCUCAAAUUUGAAAUCUGGCUCUCGGGCCCGAGUUGUAAUUUGUAGAGGAUACUUUUGAUGCGGUGCCUUCCGAGUUCCCUGGAACGGGACGCCAUAGAGGGUGAGAGCCCCGUCUGGUUGGAUGCCAAAUCUCUGUAAAGUUCCUUCGACGAGUCGAGUAGUUUGGGAAUGCUGCUCUAAAUGGGAGGUAUAUGUCUUCUAAAGCUAAAUACCGGCCAGAGACCGAUAGCGCACAAGUAGAGUGAUCGAAAGAUGAAAAGCACUUUGAAAAGAGAGUUAAAAAGUACGUGAAAUUGUUGAAAGGGAAGCGUUUAUGACCAGACUUGGGCUUGGUUAAUCAUCUGGGGUUCUCCCCAGUGCACUUUUCCAGUCCAGGCCAGCAUCAGUUUUCCCCGGGGGAUAAAGACUUCGGGAAUGUGGCUCUCUUCGGGGAGUGUUAUAGCCCGUUGUGUAAUACCCUGGGGGGGACUGAGGUUCGCGCAUCUGCAAGGAUGCUGGCGUAAUGGUCAUCAACGACCCGUCUUGAAACACGGACCAAGGAGUCGUCUUCGUAUGCGAGUGUUCGGGUGUCAAACCCCUACGCGUAAUGAAAGUGAACGCAGGUGAGAGCUUCGGCGCAUCAUCGACCGAUCCUGAUGUUCUCGGAUGGAUUUGAGUAAGAGCAUACGGGGCCGGACCCGAAAGAAGGUGAACUAUGCCUGUAUAGGGUGAAGCCAGAGGAAACUCUGGUGGAGGCUCGCAGCGGUUCUGACGUGCAAAUCGAUCGUCAAAUAUGGGCAUGGGGGCGAAAGACUAAUCGACUUUUUUUUUGU
rnacentral:rRNA from 1 species